rnacentral:lncRNA from 1 species
AGGAGAUGGGGGAAACAAUAAGGCAUCGAGCAGUACUCAUGAAAUUACAUAAGGAAUUUCGUUAAAAGUUCGAACAUAUUUGAAUCAAGAUACAAGCAUCCACGGCAAACCAAUGCAAUAAACAAGUUCACCGCCGUCUCAAACAAAAUUUAUUGAGCACAUUUGAACAAGAUUCAAUCUUAUCGAACUGUAAUGUAUAUGCGACUUAUAUAAUUUUUUAUUUUAAUUAUUAGUAUACAUUUUUAAUUUAAAUUUAACAAAGUUUUCAUUUUAAAAAUUUAAUAUUUAUCUAAUUUAAAAUUCAAUUUUUAAAAAAUGGGAUAAAAAAAUCUAUGGAGUCCUUUUAUAAAACUUUGGGUGUGGUAGUGGAUCUCUAUGGAAUCUGUCUUAAACAACAAUUAAGAAUCUCUUAAACCCAAAAAGAAAAGGUAACAAGACAUUUUCCCUUCAACAAUGGCUAGAAUUACCAUAUGAGGAGCAGCAUACAUAGGCACAAAAAAGAUUAAGGCUAAAAAGUUGAAGGAAUCAUAACGCUAUACAAAUCGUGGAUGGCUUCACUACAAACUCAAUUCCACUAAUAAUAACAUCAACUCGGCACAGGCGCGGGGUGAAUUUUGCUUUUGGCGCUGCAAAUUUUAUCAGCUUUAAAAUCAGAUGUCUCCACCACAGUGAGUUUCCUCAAUAUCUCACCUUGUUCCAUUUUCUUCACUAAUCUCUCCUUCUGCCGCUUCUGCUGCACGUACACCGCCGCGUAGCUAGCCCCAAUGGAAGACAUUUUUAGAAUCUGUUCUGCUGUGUGGAAUGGAUGCGAGGUGAAAAUGAGGGAAUUUAAAGAAAGGGAAAUUGCGGUAGUGGGCGUCGAUUGUGGUGAUGGAAAAGGCGGUUUAGAUUAGAACACAGAUAAGAAUGAUUCUAGGGUUUUGCAUCGUGGCCGCACGAUUUGGGCCAACCCAGAUAGCUCAAUCACGUGCUGCCCAACAAGAUAUUUAAUUUUAAUAAAUUAUUCUACGCUCAAUUUACGCGGAUUUGGGGAAUGUUAAAUUAUUGGAAUACAAAUUC